GGAUCAGAUCAGUUCAGACCCAGACUGGGUCAGCCUCGAUCCAAAUAGCAGCGACGGGUGACCGGACUGCCGCUUUGUCCUCCAGCGACGGCGUGGGGAAAUCAUGGCAGCUUCGGCUUCGUCUCGGUCGCCUGAUCCUAUCUGUGGUCUCGAUUUCGUCGAUGGAGCUUCGAUGAGAGAGAAUCGAAGAAGGGUAGCUUUUUCUGGGUUUGUCGACGAGUUUACUAUUUCAGCCACGGCGGCGAGCAUGAUCGGUCUUGGUAGCUUCACCUCGACCUGUUGAACAUUUCUUUGAAGAGAAGGUCGGAGGAGGGAGAAUCGAAGAGAAGAAGUUUUUAGGUUUUAGGCAGUGUUCUUGGUGUUUUCCGGCGACCUCGGACUUCAAUUCAGGUAUCAAAGUUGGUCGACUCGUCAAGCCCUACAUCUCUAUAUAAUUGGUUUUCAUUUUUGAUUAAGUUUUGAAGAAUCGAAGUUUUGGGGUUUUACUGUGCAAUUUGAGUUUUCCUGUUUGUGUGGUGAUUUUGGUUGCCUUGGGGCGUUCUUCGAUUGGAAUUGACUUUAUGAAGUUGAUUUGAUGAUCUUAAGCCCUUGAAUUACAUAAUUGGAAAAGUUGGGUUUUGGGGCAGUGUUGUUCGGCGAUGGAAGUGGUGGUUGAUGGUUCUGGGUUUGGUUUAUGUUUUAGAUGAAAUUACAAGAGCAUUAGAACUUAAUUAUGUUGUUGUGUCGCCUGGAUUCCAUAAACGGAGAAGUUGAGUGUAAGAAAAUUAGAGUUAUGCAAUUUGGAAUUGAGCUAAGAUUGGAGUAGAUGAUAGUAUCGGGUUUUCUGCUGAUUUUGGUUUAUUGUUUGUGGUGGUGACUGCAGUAUUCUUGUUCCAUUUCCAAUCAUAUGAAAGUGCAGGAACAUGAAUUUGGAUGCUUGAUUGGUAAAAGAUGAGUUUUGGGUGGUAGGAAAUGGAGCUGUGUUAUUGGAAUAGGGAGGGGAAGAUGGUUGUGUAUAGUACUAAUACUGAACUUGGCGGAGUUGAAGGAUGCAACUAAGAACUGUUGAUUUGCGAUAUGGAACUAGGAGCUUGAUUUCAAAUGGAGAAAGUGAGUAUUGGCAAGUGCAGGAGUAGGACAACUUGAGAAGUAUAAAUUGGCUAAAGAGCUUAUGGGUGUCCUUAUCAAUUUCAAAGACUGGAUUGCAUCGACUUGAAAUCAUCAGAGUGAAUAAAUGCGGAUUAAGGAACUCAUCUGGGUGUCUUAGUAGAUUUAUGAAUUCGGUCCGGUUGACUUAAAGUGACUUAAAUUUGGCUUAAAGUGAGUUUUGCGGAUUAAGGAUUCAGGGUGUCCUUAGUAAUUUUAAGAACAUGAUCAAUUUUGGAAAUUGAUUUAGUUUAUUUGAGGUUCGACGGCUUUCUCGGUAAGGAAUUGUGACGAGGAUCGAGUGACUAUCGACUUUUUCAGAAGCAGAAGGAUAAAGAUUUCAGAAUGCGUGUCGCUGAGUUAUUAGUUUUAAUUAGCGUCAGAACUAGCGCUCGGAUUUCAGGUUCAUACAAGGACACAUAUUUGUAGAAGACUAACUGUGACGUUUAGUUGACGUGAACGAGAGUCGAGAAGGACUACCGAAGUUUCUAGUGAGCUAAACAACAAGACUAGUUUUACCUUUAUAGUGAGCUAGACUGCAAGACUUGUUUUGUCUUUAUAAUCGGUUUUGUUUUUUGUAAUCGUUUUAUUUUCGACUAUUUCGAGAAAAAUAUUUAAAAUUAUUUUAUUUUCUUUUAUUUUUCCCGCUCACGCCUCGGAUUCGGUGUUAAGUGUUUGGAAACCACCGACACCGGGUCAGGGGUGUGACAAUUUUAGUCCUUGGUUUGAUGCCUAAGCUACUUCGCUCCUCCAAACUGGGCCGGUGUUGGAUCAAACAAACAGAAACUUGAAAGAAGGAGUCCGAUACAAGUCAUACAACUACGUUGGUCGGAGCGGAUUUUACGCAUCAAGGUGCCCUUGCACCAUUAAUCUGUAAGUUUUUAAAUCUUCGUAUGC